AAAACCGCGUGCGGCGGCCGCUGCAACAUUUACCUCGUCCCCUUCUUUGCGACUUCAGUGGGAGGUCGAGUAUGUAGUCAAAAUAGUGGGUGAAGAUUAUCAACAACGAGCAGCCACGCCCAUAGGUUCCUCAGAAACCAAAUCACCUUUCUCGAGUUGCACGACCAUAAGAGAUGGGGUUCCGGAGGUCAGCUCUGUUAGUGGGAUGGGAUCUCAGAGAACAACAACAACGAGAGGAACGACGAUGGGUUGUGCACGAGGCGGCGAAGGAGAUGCAAUUCUAUUAGGGUGUAUGCUAUUACUAACUACUUCAUGGUUACCACCAUAACAAAAUAGGUUGCUAGGAAGGAGCGAUUUUUUU
rnacentral:lncRNA from 1 species